AUACGGAGGGUGCGAGCGUUGUUCGGAAUUACUGGGCGUAAAGCGCACGUAGGCGGAUUAAAAAGUUAGAGGUGAAAUCCCAGGGCUUAACCCUGGAACUGCCUUUAAAACUAGUAGUCUAGAGUUCGAGAGAGGUGAGUGGAAUUCCAAGUGUAGAGGUGAAAUUCGUAGAUAUUUGGAGGAACACCAGUGGCGAAGGCGGCUCACUGGCUCGAUACUGACGCUGAGGUGCGAAAGCGUGGGGAGCAAACAGGAUUAGAUACCCCAGUAGUCC
rnacentral:rRNA from 1 species